UUAAAUUUAACCCAAAACCAAAUCAGAUUAAAAUUCUCUAUAUUCAAUUAAUUUUAAUAAUAUGACAAUUCAUUAUAUAAAUAAAUUUUAAUAUGUCUCAACUUUGUCGGGGCACCAGAUUCUUUAUGCUCUUCCAUUUCUGCAAUAUCUAAAUGUUUUUUAAUUUUAAAAAAUUGAUGAACGGUAACAAAAAUCAAAUAAUAACUUGGAAUGGAAAGUAAAAAAAAAAAAGAAAAAGCAUUUAAAAAGUAGAUGGUGAAAAUGGUAAGAAA
rnacentral:lncRNA from 1 species